UACAGAGACUGCAAGCGUUAUUCGGAUUCACUGGGCGUAAAGGGUGCGCAGGCGGCCAAGUGUGUUAGGCGUGAAAGCCCGAGGCUUAACCUCGGAAUUGCACCUAAAACUACAUGGCUAGAGUACUGGAGAGGGUAACGGAAUUCACGGUGUAGCGGUGAAAUGCGCAGAUAUCGGGAAGAACACCCGUGGCGAAGGCGGCUCUCUGGGACGGUACUGACGCUGAGACGCGAAAGCGUGGGGAGCGAACAGG
rnacentral:rRNA from 1 species